rnacentral:lncRNA from 8 species
CAACCACAGCUGAUAUUUUUUACAAUCUCAAGGCUCAAUGCCUCUACUCAUCAUAUAACCCCAUAUUGAAACCCCAGUCUUUCAAAUUACUCUCUCUCUCUCUCUCUCUCUUUUCAAUAUGACUAUUUUUAUCACUAACCACUGCUUCACACUAAUUAAACAUUUAUUACUCUAAGAUUAACAUGUAAUGCGCCAAAUGUACAAAAUACAUCAGCCAAUUCUUAAUCAAUCCAAACAAAUCAAAGUCGAAAUUCUUACUUUCCAAUUGACUAACUUUCCUUUAUUACCUCCCCUAGUCUACAUCUCAUCCCUUAAACUCAGAAAGCUCCCUAUAAUCUCAACCAUAACACAUCUCAUUUCACUAACGAUUAUGUUACUAGGUGAAUUUGUCAAAACAAACCUAACUCUACUUUUCACAGGGAGGCCACUUGUCCAGAGGAUCCAGUCACCAGUCCGGUGCAACCUGUGCUUGCUCCUCGCACUCGCCCUGAAAAGCGUGUCACCAGUCCGGUGCAACCUGUGCCGGCCCCACGGAUCAGGCCUCCAGUGCGCCUCCCCAGUCCGGUACGUCCUGUGCCUGCUCCUCGCACUCGCCCUGAAGAGCGUGUCAUCAGUCCGGUGCAACCUGUGCCGGCCCCACGCAUCAGGCCUCCAGUGCACCUCCCCAGUCCGGUACGUCCUGUGCCUGCUCCUCGCACUCGCCCUGAAGAGCGUGUCACCAGUCCGGUGCAACCUGUGCCGGCCCCACGGAUCAGGCCUCCAGUGCGCCUCCCCAGUCCGGUACGUCCUGUGCCUGCUCCUCGCACUCGCCCUGAAGAGCGUGUCACCAGUCCGGUGCAACCUGUGCCGGCCCCACGCAUCAGGCCUCCAGUGCGCCUCCCCAGUCCGGUACGUCCUGUGCCUGCUCCUCGCGCUCGCCCUGAAGAGCGUGUCACCAGUCCGGUGCAACCUGUGCCGGCCCCACGCAUCAGGCCUCCAGUGCACCUCCCCAGUCCGGUACAUCCUGUGCCUGCUCCUCGCACUCACCCUGAAGUGCGUGUCACCAGUCUGAUGCCAC